GACGUAGGAGGCGAGCGUUGUCCGGAUUCAUUGGGCGUAAAGAGCGCGCAGGCGCUUGGUAAGUCGGAUGUGAAAUCCCGAGGCUCAACCUCGGGUCUGCAUCCGAUACUUGCCCGGCUAGAGGUAGGUAGGGGGAGAUCGGAAUUCCUGGAUGUAGCGGUGAAAUGCGCAGAUAUCGGGAGGAACACCGGUGGCGAAGGCGGUUCUCUGGGCCUGUACUGACGCUGAGGAGCGAAAGCGUGGGGGAGCGAAACAGG
rnacentral:rRNA from 1 species